rnacentral:rRNA from 1 species
UACGGGGGGGAGCAAACGUUGUUCGGAAUCACUGGGCGUAAAGGGCGCGUAGGCGGCUUUGUAAGUCGGGGGUGAAAGCCUGUGGCUCAACCACAGAAUUGCCUUCGAUACUGCAUGGCUUGAGACCGGAAGAGGUAAGUGGAACUGCGAGUGUAGAGGUGAAAUUCGUAGAUAUUCGCAAGAACACCAGUGGCGAAGGCGGCUUUCUGGCUCGUAACUGACGCUGAGGCGCGAAAGCGUGGGGAGCAAACGG